rnacentral:rRNA from 1 species
CCUACGGGUGGCAGCAGUGGGGAAUCUUGCACAAUGGGCGAAAGCCUGAUGCAGCGACGCCGCGUGCGGGAUGAAGGCCUUCGGGUUGUAAACCGCUUUCAGCAGGGACGAGGCGAAAGUGACGGUACCUGCAGAAGAAGCCCCGGCUAACUACGUGCCAGCAGCCGCGGUAAUACGUAGGGGGCAAGCGUUAUCCGGAUUCAUUGGGCGUAAAGCGCUCGUAGGCGGUCUGUUAGGUCGGGAGUUAAAUCCGGGGGCUCAACCCCCGCUCGCUCCCGAUACCGGCAGACUUGAGUUUGGUAGGGGAAGGUGGAAUUCCUAGUGUAGCGGUGGAAUGCGCAGAUAUUAGGAAGAACACCAGUGGCGAAGGCGGCCUUCUGGGCCAUAACUGACGCUGAGGAGCGAAAGCUAGGGGAGCAAACAGGAUUAGAUACCCGAGUAGUC